AGGGAUCAUUAAAGAGUUUUAUAACUCCCAAACCCAUGUGAACAUACUGUACGUUGCCUCGGCAGGCUGCAUCUCCCUGUGAGGUCUUACCCUGUAGGACGCUACCGCUGUAAGGCUUAUCGGGAAGAUGCACUAAAGCCUGCCGGCGGCCCAUUAAACUCUGUUUAUUUUUGAAUUCUGAGGUUAUAAUAAAUAAGUUAAAACUUUCAACAACGGAUCUCUUGGUUCUGGCAUCGAUGAAGAACGCAGCGAAAUGCGAUAAGUAAUGUGAAUUGCAGAAUUUAGUGAAUCAUCGAAUCUUUGAACGCACAUUGCGCCCACUAGUAUUCUAGUGGGCAUGCCUGUUCGAGCGUCAUUUCAACCCUUAAGCCCCUGUUGCUUAGUGUUGGGAGCCUACGGUUACCGUAGCUCCUCAAAUGUAGUGGCGGAGUUGGUUCACACUCUAGACGUAGUAAUUUUUAUCUCGCCUAUGAGUUGGACCGGUCCCUCGCCGUAAAACCCCCUAAAAUUUUAAAGGUUGACCUCGGAUCAGGUAGGAAUACCCGCUGAACUUAA
rnacentral:rRNA from 1 species